rnacentral:lncRNA from 1 species
AUGUGUUUCAAGAUAUUUCUCUGUCUGUUGCUUGUCUUUUUAUUUUCUAAUGGUGUAUUUUUGAAGUUUUUUAUGUUGGCGGAGUCCAGUUUAUAAUGUUCUACCUAGGAAAUCUUUAUGCAGUCCAAGGUCUUGGAGAUGUUCUCCUGUUUUAUUCUUGAGGUUUGAGCUUAGCUAGCUGGGCUCUUAGCAGGAUGGUUUUGGUAGUUGAUAGAUCAGAUUAAAUGGUAUUUAAUUUGUGAGCAGUAAGUGCUCACAAAACAGAAAUCAGUGUAAAAAUUGGAUUUUGUUUGUUGUUGUCGUCUUUAGAACAACCAGAAAUUAAGCAGGUUGAUAGUGUCUUUUUGUUUAUUUCAUUUUAGAUCAACAGGCGGUCCUUCGGGUCGGAGUGGACAUCGGAUGGUGGCCUGGAAGAGACAAUUGAUCCUGUUUGGUGGCUUCCAUGAAAGUACACGGGAUUACAUCUACUACAACGACGUGUAUGCCUUUAAUCUGGACACCUUCACAUGGAGCAAGCUGUCCCCGUCAGGGACGGGGCCCACACCCAGAUCAGGCUGCC